rnacentral:rRNA from 1 species
AUUGAACGCUGGCGGCAUGCUUUACACAUGCAAGUCGAACGGUAACAGCACUUCGGUGGCUGACGAGUGGCGAACGGGUGAGUAAUACAUCGGAACGUGCCUAGUAGUGGGGGAUAACUACUCGAAAGAGUAGCUAAUACCGCAUGAGAUCUAAGGAUGAAAGCAGGGGACCUUCGGGCCUUGCGCUACUAGAGCGGCUGAUGGCAGAUUAGGUAGUUGGCGGGAUAAAAGCUUACCAAGCCGACGAUCUGUAGCUGGUCUGAGAGGACGACCAGCCACACUGGGACUGAGACACGGCCCAGACUCCUACGGGAGGCAGCAGUGGGGAAUUUUGGACAAUGGGCGCAAGCCUGAUCCAGCAAUGCCGCGUGCAGGAUGAAGGCCUUCGGGUUGUAAACUGCUUUUGUACGGAACGAAAAGCCCUCUUCUAAUACAGGAGGGUCAUGACGGUACCGUAAGAAUAAGCACCGGCUAACUACGUG